UAACACCUACGGGGCGCAGCAGUGGGGAAUAUUGCACAAUGGGGGGAACCCUGAUGCAGCGACGCCGCGUGAAGGAUGAAGUAUUUCGGUACGUAAACUUCUAUCAUCAGGGAAGAAAAUGACGGUACCUGACUAAGAAGCCCCGGCUAACUACGUGCCAGCAGCCGCGGUAAUACGUAGGGGGCAAGCGUUAUCCGGAUUUACCGGGCGUAAAGGGCGUGCAGCCUGGCUGAC
rnacentral:rRNA from 1 species